UCCCUGAUAGCUCAGAUGGUAAAGAAUCUGCCUGCAAUGCAGGAGACCCUGGUUUGAUUCCUGGGUCGGGAA
rnacentral:tRNA from 1 species